AUUGUAUUACCUCCAUCCCAAAUUACUUAUCUUAUAUUUGUCUAUACAAGGAUGUAUCUAACACUAAAACGUGUCUAGAUACAUCCGUAUCUAGACAAAUCUAAGACAAAUAAUUUAGGAUGGAGGGAGUACAUG
rfam:Triticum aestivum genome assembly, contig: Triticum_aestivum_CS42_TGACv1_scaffold_543770_6DS